UGCAAGUCGUACGCUUCUUUUUCCACCGGAGCUUGCUCCACCGGAAAAAGAAGAGUGGCGAACGGGUGAGUAACACGUGGGUAACCUGCCCAUCAGAAGGGGAUAACACUUGGAAACAGGUGCUAAUACCGUAUAACAAUCGAAACCGCAUGGUUUUGAUUUGAAAGGCGCUUUCGGGUGUCGCUGAUGGAUGGACCCGCGGUGCAUUAGCUAGUUGGUGAGGUAACGGCUCACCAAGGCCACGAUGCAUAGCCGACCUGAGAGGGUGAUCGGCCACAUUGGGACUGAGACACGGCCCAAACUCCUACGGGAGGCAGCAGUAGGGAAUCUUCGGCAAUGGACGAAAGUCUGACCGAGCAACGCCGCGUGAGUGAAGAAGGUUUUCGGAUCGUAAAACUCUGUUGUUAGAGAAGAACAAGGAUGAGAGUAACUGUUCAUCCCUUGACGGUAUCUAACCAGAAAGCCACGGCUAACUACGUGCCAGCAGCCGCGGUAAUACGUAGGUGGCAAGCGUUGUCCGGAUUUAUUGGGCGUAAAGCGAGCGCAGGCGGUUUCUUAAGUCUGAUGUGAAAGCCCCCGGCUCAACCGGGGAGGGUCAUUGGAAACUGGGAGACUUGAGUGCAGAAGAGGAGAGUGGAAUUCCAUGUGUAGCGGUGAAAUGCGUAGAUAUAUGGAGGAACACCAGUGGCGAAGGCGGCUCUCUGGUCUGUAACUGACGCUGAGGCUCGAAAGCGUGGGGAGCAAACAGGAUUAGAUACCCUGGUAGUCCACGCCGUAAACGAUGAGUGCUAAGUGUUGGAGGGUUUCCGCCCUUCAGUGCUGCAGCUAACGCAUUAAGCACUCCGCC
rnacentral:rRNA from 2 species